GACGAACGCUGGCGGCGUGCUUAACACAUGCAAGUCGAACGGAAAGGCCUGCUUUCCCUUGUGGAUUGCGGGUACUCGAGUGGCGAACGGGUGAGUAACACGUGAGUGAUCUGCCCCCAACUUUGGUAUAAGCCUGGGAAACUGGGUCUAAUUCCCGAUAGGACUGCAGGGUGGUGCCUGUGGUGGAAAACGAUUGUCUAGUGGUUGGGGAUGAGCUCGCGGCCUAUCAGCUUGUUGGUGGGGUAAUGGCCUACCAAGGCGGGGACGGGUAGCCGGCCUGGGAGGGUGGGCGGCCAAAGUGGGACGGAGACACGGCGCCGACUCCUACGGGAAGAAGCAGUGGGGAAGAAUGAACGAUGAGCGGGAGCCUGAUGCAGCGACGCCGAGUGGGGGAUGACGGGCUUCGGGUUGUAAACUCCUUUCGACAGCGAGGAAGCCACCUGGUUGGAAGGGUGGUGACGGUAGUGGUAGAAGAAGCACCGGCUAACUACGUG
rnacentral:rRNA from 1 species